UUAAUUCCUAGGCUGAUAACCAUUCAGAUCACUCAGAAAUCUCGAACAUGUUCAUCAAAAUACAGAGCAGAAAUAAUAGUAAGAAAAAUAGGAAAAAAAUCACUUACCGAGCUCUCCUAUGAGUGAACGGUUGUGAAAGGAGUAGCCGAACCUUCAAACAGAGUCCUCGGAAUGGUAUACUCUUCAGAUUUGAGGGGAAAACCUCGCUUUUAUCUCUGGAGGUGAGACAUCUCUGAAACCGUACGAAUCUCUACAAGAAUGAAGCGAAUCUGCCGUAUGGGUUCACGAGAUGAAAAGUAGAUCGACCAGUCUAGGGUUCACGAGAUGAAGAUGGGGAAGGAUUCGUACGGUUUCAGAGACAGAGGAGGUUCAAUUUCUGCCGCUCCUUGCGUUCUUCGCAGGCGAAUCUUGACUUCUUCUGGAUGACUGUGUUCUUCCCUAAACCCUAGGGUUCACGAGGAAGACGAAGGAGAAGGGAGGCAUACUGUUGAAGAGGGUGACGAGGAAGGUGUUCCACCAACGAGAUGAAGAAGGGCCGUAUUUGCAGAGCUCCCCGUGGUCGGGUACGCAGGAGAAGCAGUGAAGCUUCAACGUUUGAAGAGGAAGGGGGGUGUCGAUCUUCGAAUGAACAGCAUAAAUUUUCAUAGGUUUGUAGUUGGUGUGUCGAUCGAUUGUUUGUGCCCCUUUUUUGUUUCGAGAAACAAGCGAAACAAGUAAAACUUGUUUCGUCAUUCAUGUUUCUUGAAGCAUAAAUUGUUAUAAAUUUCAAUUUAUGUUUCAAGAAACAAGUGGAACAGAACACUUUUACCUAAUGGUAUUUAUGCCGUUUCUUUGUUUCUGAGAACAAGAAAACACAGAAACACGUUUUUGGUUACGUUAUCAAACGGGCUCUUAGAUCUACAAUUUGACAAUGUUUGGAGGAUAUCCAAGAUGUUUUAGGUGCUUCUUGUGCUAUUGAUGUUUGCGACCGUGUAAAUUGCCUGUGAAUGUCUGACCUUAAACUUUUGGUUCAUUCAUGGGAAGUAGACUUGUCUAAUUUGACUUUUGUGUCUUCUUGACAGUGGGCUGUUGGCGUCUGAAAUACAUCAUUUUACAUACUUGACCCUUUAUUCAGCGUUAUUUUUCUUAUCAAUGUCCUUCUUAAUGCACUUUUCCACUCGCACGGUCCUGCACAACACACAUAUUAGAACUGGCCCGGAGGGAGCUUUGGGAAAGAGGCUUGGAUGCCUAAAUCAGGUCAUAGAUAAUCAAAAGAGAUGGGGAACAUAGAGUCAUGAGUCUGUUGAGUGUCUUACCUUUAAAAUCCAUUAAGUAGCCUUUAUAUAGAAGUUGAUGUCCUCCUUCAUUGCUAACAUGGAUCAUUUUCUUCUUGAUGAGCUUGUCACUCUCUUAAGCUGAGUUGGCCGAUCUUGUAACGGUUAACCGGACCAUAGUCAGUCUUUACAACGGCUAACUCAACCGUAGUUGACCCAUAGUUAAAUAACUGCCUAACCUAUGCCUGGUUAAGUAAACUAGGCGUGGUUAGGCUCAGAGACGGUUAUGGAUGUCACCAUCCUAUGAUGAGGUGUAUAGGUCUAGGUCCCACAUGGAUGAUUAAUACCUCACAUGGGGAUGAGGUAUAAGAUAAGGGCAUGAGGUCAGCUUGUCAGGUGUUGUGAGUGCACGUGAUCGAGAUAAAUGGUUCAGAAUAGGUUCUUCCUCUGUUGAUCCUCUUCAUAUUUUGCCUGGUGGAUCAAGGACGGAUAAAAUAGGGCUGAUCAGUAAUUGGUGUGUACCAUAAUGGCCUAUCAGUCCUAAUGAAGGAUCAUUGAUCUACCUUUAGGUGCCGCCUAGGAGUCAACCCCCAAAUUUUGUGCAUUCCUAGCUGUUAUCCUAGCUGUUAUCUUUCUUUUGUGGCUGAGCUAGGGGUGCACCAGGCUUCUUAAAACCCUAGCCCAACCUUGAGUCCCCUUAACGGGCCCCAAACUCACCCUGACCCUGAAUCUGAUUCAGACUCAAACUCAGACUCAGGGCCACAAAACUUCAACCCAGGCCCAACCCUUCAGGGUUCAGCCUAACCCUUACCCGCCCUGAUUGACCCUGAUUUUUCAGGGUCGGGUCGGGAUGACCCUGAUUGGCCCUAACCCUGACCCUGGUUUGCCAUCAAGGGCCAGAUAUACCCUGACUCUGACCUGGCAAAAUAUGAAAAAACUAAAAAAUAAAAAAAUAUUCAUAAUAAAGAGGAGAUAAAAAACACAAAGUCACAAAUUACUCGUCAUGAGGAGAACAUCCUAAAGCAAACAUUGAAACAAUAUAAAUAACUCUAACUAUUAUGGUAAACAAAGAGGAGAUCAUCCAAAGAAACCAAAUAAUCCAAAAAAUUUCAAUUAUUUGUCAUAAUAACAAAGAGAUCGUCCAUCUUAAUAAGGCAAACAAUCCAAAGAUCUCAAAACCCUUGUCAUGUUAAACAAAGAGGAGAACAUCCUAAGAAAACAAAAACCCAAAGUCAACAUUAGGGGCAAAAACCAGGGCCUGGUAGGGCCAAAACCAAGGCUAAACUCAGGGUAAAAAAUCAGGGCCGGGUUCAGGGCGGGUUGGGCGGGCCAAAGACAUCAACCCUUACCCGCCCUUGCCCUGACCCUGACCCUGACCCUGACCCUGACCCUGACCCUGACCCUGACUCAGGGUCAGGCUGGCCCUCAGGGCCAAAUUUUCGGGUUGAUACUUGUUCAAGAUCAGGGCGGGCCAAAGCGCGGGUUCGGGCCGUCAAGGCCAAACUUGCACCCUUAGGCUGAGCUGGACCUGAAAUUUUGAACUUUAACCUUUAAUCUUGUGGUGGCCAUGUAGUGUGAACCGAUUGAGCUAUGGCCUAUGGACAUGGAACUGUUAUUUGUUCCAAUGAAAUUUUGAUGGACAUCCUUUUGGAGCAGAGAAAGCAAAUGAAGAAAAUUGUGCUGCAUGAAUUCAUCAAUAAUAAUUUUACAGGAUUAUCGCUUUAUUCAAGAAUUUUUUAUUAUGGCUAAUCACCCAAUGGGUAUGUAGUUGUCAAGGGUGAUUCAUAGUUGAUGUUGCUCAAUGCCCAAUGUAACUGAUUGAGGCAGAUUAUUGAUUGAUAAAUCAUAGAAUUGCUGCAUCUUAGAAUCCUACCUGACUCGAAUUAAUGCAUUAGUAUGCCUAGAGUUAUCAGUUUCCUGUAAGUUCUCUGGCUGCUUUGGUGCAUGUUGCACUUUACAUUCAAAGCCUUUAUUGCUCAUUGUAGUAUAUUCAGUUACCACACUAUGCUGUUGAAGUAUGUUCGAUCAGAAUGACCUUUAUUGAUAUUGCACAACGUCUAGACUUGGGAUUUUUAUAUGAUUUUUAUUUGUAAGGUAUUUCCAUGUUGAUUUACCUUUGCUAAACCAGUUAGGCCAUAACUUUGGAUACUAACCAGGUUUUGCUUUUUUGAGAAUUGGGCAGAUACCUGCAAUAUCUGGGUCAUGAAGUCAAUUAUGUGCGGAACUUUACUGAUGUUGAUGACAAGGUAUUCAGAUCUGCAAGUGGAAGAGGAGAGGACCGACCAGCUGCCCACUAGCCGUGACCAACCACACGUAGCAGCCAUGGGUGUUGGCCCUUGAGGGCUGGCUGCAGCAGCCUGCCUUGGGGCUAUUUGUGGUUUCAGAUUUGAGCAGAUCAGAUUUUCAGAUCUGAAAUCAUUUCAGAAAGAAAAAAAAAAAGAAAAAAGAAAGAGAGAGAGAUGAGAAGGGUCAACAAGAAGGGGGAGGAGAAGGGAAAGGGAGGAUGAGAGGGAAAGAAGUUGCAGCAAACCACAAAAGAGAAAGUGAAGAAAGGGAGUUAUGAGGAAGAUGGGUGAAGGGGACAUCCCUUCACUCAUUUUUUUAAAAACCCAUUUUACACAUAGGGAUACCAAAUCUAUUUCUCACAAAAAACCAUUUUUGUCAAGUAAUUACCAAACCAUUUUUAUGUUUUGAUAAAAAAUGGUUUUCAUUAAUGCUUUUUGUGAAAUAGACAAAAAUCAAAAAGAAAAAUGAUACCAAAGAGGGCCUUACCUCAUGAGGUUUUGUUUUCUUGCCACAUGGUACACACUUGGAUGUGAGAGAGGAGGCCCCACACCCUUCACAUUGGUCAAAUGUCAGUCUAAAACAAGAAUUGAACUAAUAAAGAAGUGAGCUUGGUAAUAUUCUUAUCUCUACCCGUAUCUUAGUUCAUUCUGAUUGGAGAACAGAGUGUAAGAUCUGUCACCUGAUGGGAAUCAUUUCAGUUGAGUAUAUUUCUGAUGGGUAGGAAGGAGGAGAUUGGAGAUGAUGAUCUGGUUGAUAAAAAAACCCCAUCUUUUGUAGUGAUCAAUGGGAAUAGAAAUGUCUAACUCCUUGUCUUUAUUUUCAAUUUUCGUCUUCUUCUUUUUCAUUUUUAUUGGGUUUUGAAAUUUUAUUUGUCUGAUUAAAUAGGACUCUGUCGCUGGAAAGUCAAGAGGUGCAUAACGAGAGUAUUGAAGUCUGAUUGUUGGCAGCUAAAAAAUAAUUUUGAUCGCUAAGCCAGAAUGACCACCAAUACAAGAUUUACAACUAAGCUCCUAACUGAUGAUUUGGAAUCACACCCUUCCAUUAAUUAGUAAAUGAGGGCAGGUCACCCUUCUCGAAAAAAAAUUGAGGGCAGGCCAUGAGUCAUUGGUUUGACCAGAAUAUAAUGGAUUAGAUUGGACAAAAAACAGACCAUACAUUUACUUUUGAGUUUCCAAUGGGUUGUAUGAGCCAUGGGCCUGGUAUUUUUGGGUUUACUAUUGUAAUGGGCCAAUUCUAUAAUCCCAAAUAUGAGGGAUUUGAAUCCUAUACGGGAUUAGUAUUAGUUUUUAUCUUGUUGAGUUCUAAAAGAGUUUCUAUUUUUUGGAAAACUUAGGCUGUAAAGGGAUUCCGCCUUCCACACUUUUUGGGGGGUGGGGGGUGGUUCCUAUUUUGCUUAUUUAUAUGAAGUACUAAAUAAAGAGGAGGGGAUCGUACUUGAUGUAGAGCGAGCUAUCAAAAAGGGGGUGCAAAGCUGGUUUGAAUACUGGCCUAAUUCUGUCCAUCAAGCCAGCACAGAACUGGAUCAGUUUUACAGCAGCUUUAGUUCCUUGUUUCUCCAUUGGGCAGCAGAUCCAUCUCCCGAUUUUGUCCUAGUAAGCAAGCUGCAAUGAGCUUGGGACAACCUUCUAGAAGCCCUACAGUCUUAUACAUAGAUGAGCUGUACUUCUGUUCUUUUGAGUGGCUUUAGGCAGCAAGAAGGUGGCCCAUCGAUCUCUACAACAGCUGGGAUUUAAUUAGUUCUUUGUUUCUAUUUUUAUUUGUUAGUAGUUAUAUUUGUUUCCUUUUAGUAGUCUUAGUUAGUUUCCUUUUAUUGAUUCCUUGUUAAACAAAUUAGUUAGUUGUUUAUGUUCUUGCCAAGCAAGGAAGUCAGGUUAGGAAGCUAGUAACUAGUUAGUAACCUAUUUUAGUUAUUUCCAAAUUGUAAUUCAGUUGGAGAGCCUGUAUAGAGGUAUGGAUUGAUUGUAAUAGUUUAGAUUUGAAUUAAUGAAUUGUGAGUUUUACUCCAUGGAUGAGAAAGUCCAAGAUUCUGAGAGGGUGAGAUGCCCAACAAAUUGAGAGGGUGAAAUGCCUAGGGGAAGGUGAGAGGCCUAACCCAAAACUACCUUUCCUUUCUCCCUUGUCACCCUUCCAACCGAUUCUGUUUCUUCUUUAUUUCCCUAUUUCUUUUAAAGGUUGUUAUUCAGUUUUAAAUUUCAGUUACUGAUAUUGGUACAAGCUCCAACUGCAACAAGGAAGAGCUUCUUGGGUUGGGAACUUAUUCCCCUAUCAAUCAGCCCCGUGGCCAAUCCUUUGCAGGCUUUUUUGGCUGAUAGGGGAAUCGGUUCCAAACUCAAGAAGCUAUCCCUUUUUUUUUGUUGUUUAAGCCCCAAAAUAGACCUUCGAUCAGGAGAUUAAGGGCCAUUCAAGACCUGCUACUGUUUCUGUUAUCUGGGUGGUUUUAUCAAGACUUGCAAUAGUCCUAAUCUAAGUAAUUUUCUGGGUAACUUCUAGACGCAUAUAAUGUAGUACUAAAUUUGAAAGAAUCAAAAUAGUAUCCAGUUGACAAGGAUCUAUACUCAAAGGAUGGUCCAGAUGCAAAUAAUGAAGUGAAAUAUGACAUCAACUAGGGAGGGGGAAAAAAACAAUAUCCGUGAGGGCAAAACAGUAAUUUUCAGCUCAAAUUAAGGUCAGAAAUUAGGGUAGUAAAGCACAAACAAUCUUUGAUUUCAAUAGUUAACUUGAAUUAACAAAUGGAAGCAAAACAGUAACUAUUUGAACACAAAACAAUAACCUCUUUUAGAUCUUGAGAAGGGAAGGGCAGAAUUGAUAUUUUGCAAAUAUCUAAAGAUCAAGCCAUUAGAAAGGCCCCAUAUUUGAAUUGGUCUCCAAAUUAGGGUUCUUGAAUGCCUAGUCAAAAUUUAAGUUCAAUCAGAUGGCUGGAUUGCUUAAUCCAAAAAAGCGUGUGACAUCCAACCUUCUAGAAGAUGGAGUUCUUCUUCAGGUUGAGUUUUUCCCUUGAGAUGUCCAACAAAAUCCCAAAAGGAUCCUUCAAUCAUGUUGCAGGAUAUGGAGAUCCACGGAUGCACUUACUGAUCUUGAAAGAAGGAAACUAGAAGAAGCUUUUGGAUCAGAGGAUGGGAGUUACUGCUGGGCACCAAACCUUGGUCAAAGCUUCCUCUGGUGUGCCAGAAAAAAACCCCAAAGGGGGCCCUUAAUCUGAGUUGAGGUUGGAGAGAUUCCGCCUAGGAAAUAUUCCUGUAGAAAAUUCUUCUCAGCAAUAAAUAAAUCUGGAAAACUGGGACAGUUAUGAGGUCUGAAUAUGAAUGGAAGUUAUGGACUGUUGAGUGAAAUAGGGAAGAUGGAAAAGGGGUUUGAUGGGUGCUGAGGGAGAGUGGUUGGACUGUCUCAGUCCUUGGGUCUCUCUCAUCCUCAGCUUCUCAACUGAUGUAUCCUUCUUAGGGAAUAAGUUGCAACAGCAAGUAAUGUAUUCUUUAUUCAUACCUUGGGUCUCUCACCCUCAGUCUUCUUACUUGUUGGAUGAAAAAGAUGGUGAAAGAAUAAUAAAGGAAGAAGAAGUAUGGAGAUGGGAUAGAUGUGGGUGGGAUGGUGUGAUUGCUAUCUCAUCCUAGGCCUCUCACCCACAACUAUUUCAGCUAUUGAAGAAUUCUUUCUCAAAAUUUUGGAAGCACAAAGCUGCAAUUUCAUUAAUAAUUUCAUGUUCAAUGCUGUAGCCCUUUUCAAACUCAUAUAGAAGAUUUAAAAUAGACUCAAACACCAAAAAGGAAAGGCCUAACCCAAUCCUUUAACUAAUUAGGAAAACCUAAACUGACUAGAAAACUAAAAUAACAUAGAAAAUGGACUCAAAAUAGGACUCUAACUAAAUGAAUUAAUUCCUACUUUCUACCCAUAUUUUAGGUUCAUUAAAGUGGCUUAUUACAGAGAAAACCCAUGGGAUCAAAGGCCCAACACCUAUAUACCCAACCCAAGGCCUAUUUCCAAUAAAAUAAGCCCAUUAAGUGACUUAUUUGCAUUAAGUGUCCACCACUUAAAAUAACUCGACCUCGAGUUUUGAACAUGAGAACGACCACAUUGGUGUGAUGAAGGUUAAGCUGCAGUCCAUAGUAAAACUCAGGAAAUUCUUUGAUGACAUGAAUGUAGUCUAGAAUGUGAAGGGCACGAUCUUCUAGAUUCUUCAAUGGGAUGAUGAACUCCACAUGCGCAACCUUAACAUUGUUGGAUGCAUCCAUAGGGUCAUCUUUAGUACAUCUUCUACCUUCUCAAACUUAAACUUGAGCUCCUUAAGUUCUUCGUUCUUGUCGUUCAUAGUCUCCUCAAUGGUUUCUUCAACCAUUGGUUCAUCUUGAACCCCAUAGGAUCUUCCUCUUGGUUAUUCACACUCAUCAUAGUUGUAGUGCCAAUCUCCUCGGGCUCGACCUCAUUGUCCACCAUUACGACCAUGUUGCUUUCGACCUCUUCAUCAAAAUUUCACUGGUUUGGAACAUCAAGGACUAACUCUUCCUUAACAUUAGGAAUGACUGGAAUUUCUUCCACACUAACCUUAACCUCAGGUUCUGGUGCUUUGGUUGGAGGUGUCUUCUCUUGUUGCUCCUUUGCAUAUUUUUGCACAAGAGCGGCCAAGUGGUCUACCAAUUGUUUCAAACUCUUGUCACCUGUGGGUGUCUUUUGGAGACCUGUAGAUGUCUUCUGCAAGGUUAUUAAGGCGGUGAGGCGACCGGGGUCAUUUGGAGUGCUUUGGCGAUAGGGCGGGCAUAAGAUGCCGCCUUAUUGAAUAAAGCGUUCUUGUGUUAUUUUUUUAUACAGCUAUUCUAUUUGACUCAAAUCCUAGUUGAAUCCUAUUACUCAUAUGCUAAGUAAAGAUUAAAGGUUCGUACUUUAUACCAAUGCAAUAAUACAUAAGCCAAUCUGGUUUUCCAAAUGAAUGGAAGGCACUAGGCAAUAAUAAAGAGCUGCAUAUAAGUCUAUAAACAUAGUCAUCCAAUUUGGUUUUCCAAAGAACAUGGCAGACAAUAAUAGACAACAACCAUAACUUUAUCUCAACUUGAUGGGGUCGGCUACAUGGAUCCGAUAAGGUCUAAGAUGCAUGUAAGCAUAAGCAUAUUCAUUCUAAAAAGAGGUAAAAAAGGGUAAAAGGAGGUAAAAAGAAGAAGUUAAAGCAGUAGUCAAAGCAGCAUCCUUGGAACAUCCCCUAUAAGGGGUCGGCUACACGGGUCCUUGUCCUCCACUUACCUCUAUCCGCGGUCAUACUAAUAUCGAUCCUUACUAGCAACAUAUCUUUUCUUACCACUUUGUCAAUGGUCAUUUUAGGUUUGCCUCUCCUUCUAGCUCCAUGUAAUUGAAACUGGUCAUACUUCCUUAUUGGGGCAUCAAUGGGUCUCCGUUGAACAUGGCCAUACCACCUCAAUCGGCUCUCGCGGAGCUUAUCCUGGAUUGGAGCCACCCUUAACUAUUUUCUAAUACAAUCAUUCUCUACUUUUUUUCUCCGGGUCUUUCUACACAUCCCUCUCAACAUCCUCAUCUCUGUUACACCCAAUUUAUUCAAAUUACUCUUCUUGAUUGCCCAACACUGUGCCCCAUACAUCAUCGCUAGUUGUGUUAUUGUCUUGUAGAAUUUUCUGUUGAGUUUAACAGGCAUGUGUUUAUCACAUAGCACUCCUGAGACACUUCUCCACUUCACCCAUUGCUGGUUGCAGUCCUGGCCUGUAGAUAGAGGCUUGCAUUAUUUGCUUUCUUUUUGUAACAUUUUGUUGAUUGAUGUACCAUUUUUUUGCUUAAUUUUUUUUUUUUUACAGGAACUGUAUAUUCACAAUGGAACCCAGUAUUGUGGUUUCAAUAAAUGAAGAUAUAAUGGGAAAUAUUCUUUUUCGGCUACCAGUGAAAGUACUUUCAAGAUUUGAGUGUGUCAGCAAACAAUGGAACAAUUUUCUUUCCAGUCCUCAUUUUGUUACUUCACACCAAGCUAGGCUGACCCAAAAUACUGACUUUAUGCAAGUUCUUAGGCUAGAUACAGAUGCAUUUUUUAGGUUAUGUAUAAUCAAGGAACAACAGGAACAGAGGAUUGUGACAUGUGUUUCAAUUCGGCCAGAUUUACCCGAUGGAUUCCUAUGGCAUAUUCAUAUUGAAAUGAGAGGGAGACCUUGUAAUGGGUUGAUUUGCCUUCAUAAUUCUGCUGAUGGAAGAACUUUGGUAUGGAACCCAGCAACUCUGAAGACUAUGGAAAUCCCUGCACAAGCAUCUUGUUAUGUGGAAGGACUUGGAUUUAAUUCCUAAAGCCUUGAAUUCAAAGUAAUCCGCAUAUUUUUGAGGGUGGUCUAUAGUACGUUUGCCCCUAAGAGCAGGUUUGAGUGUGAGUUAUUUACCAUACCUCAAGGAGGAGCCCAGGCAUCAUAGAGAAAUAUAGGAAAGCUCCCUUGUAAAAUUCAACAAUAUGGUAGUUCAACCAUGUGUUUUGUAAAUGGGAGUGCCAACUGGAUGGUUUAUCCUGAACUGUAUAGCGGCGCCCACUCAAUAAUUCCGCGUGAAUUGGAAUCCAUUGCUUUCAUUCUUUCUCUGGAUCUUGAGCUUGAAGAGUUCAAAGUACUUCCAUUCCUAGAGCAUUGGGCAAAUGAUGCAAACAAUUACAAGCAUUUGUCUCUCAAUUUGUUGGGAGACGAGUUAUGUGUUCUAGAUCAUGUUGAUGGAAGUUCACUAAUAGAUUUCUGGGUGCUCAAGGACUAUACUAAUAGCAUUUGGAUUAUGAUUUAUCAAAUUGAUCUGCAAACCACUGACUUUGUGCCGAUUAUGGGUAAUUUUUCUAUAGUUUCCGAAUGCAUGGGGCAAUUGCUUCUCCAAAUUUUUAAUAUGAUUAGGAAUGCUGAUUUUGCGAGUGCUACGACGUUGAGGUCGUGUUAUUAUGAUCCGAGAACAGAUUCAUAUGAAGAAAUCUUCGCACAUUAUGUGAAUUUUACUGGUUAUACUCUUAGAGGACUUGGCACAUAUGUUGAGUAUCUUGGUACUCCAUUCUGAUUGGAAAAGUGUUAAGGUGAACAUUACUUUCAUAGCCUGUGAAAUUGAUUUUGUCCAUGCAAGUCAAAUAGUUGCUAUAUGGUAGCUUCCAAGAGUAUUAAACCUGUUAAUAUCACCAUCUACUUAUUUUUAAAAUUUCAAAUCCAAAAUUUCUUGUUCUUUAUAUAUGGCAUUUUGAAGCUUUCACGAAAUAAUGAUAGUAUGUAGUGGGAUCAAAAUGGGGCUUCUAUUUCCUUGUUAGUAUGUGGGUUUUAAAUGGUUGACACUCCAAAGUAAUUUGGCCUUGUAGAUGUUUGCUGUUUUACUUGUGCAAGUUUUUUUAUUUUUGGCAUGCAUGGUAGUUCUGGUCAGCAGCAUUGAUAGAUAAUCAAUUUUUGGUGUGUGGUUUCAUAGUUUACCAAUCAAUUCUGAAGCAUACUCCUAUCUUUACCCCCCUUUUUCCAUUUUGUUGUCAGUAUUAAUAUGCAGGCUAUUUGUUUGUGAUGCUUUUGUGAAGUUGAUGUUUGAUUUGGAUUUCCCAAAAAAAUAAAUGAUUUUUCAGUUUGCAGUCAAAUCAUGCGUUGUUAGUGUUUUCAUAUGUAAUGCAUCUUUAUUAGUUAGGUUCAGAAUGAAAUUGUUGACUCUAAAAGGGAAGAUUACUUCAAAUUUGGUAUAAAUUUGUGGUGAUAUUGCAAAUGGAUAUUCAAAUUCUAAAACCUCUAAGUGGGAAGAAGUUACACUUCUUAGGUAUAGUUUGGACAUUGCGUUUUGAGAGGGUUGAGGUUCAAAGUCUCGUCCCUUUUCUUUGUUGGUCAAAUAGGAUUCAUUUCUUGAGAGAAAUGUCGGUACUGUAAGUUAGAAACAUGAAUUUACUUGGGUUUUGAGUAGCCAAGGAUAUAUGCUAUGACAUAAACUUGGUGAAGCACACCUUACUCCUUAGAAGAUAAAGUAAUAUACAUUUUUUUUCUCAGGGGUUUAAUUCGGUAACUUUUUUAUUUCAGAGAUAUUCCUUUGCUGGUUUAUAUGAAACUUCUGGAAAUGGGAAGCACUAAUAUACAUAGGAAUUAUUAGUUAAGAGAGGGAGCAUACCAUGUACCAAAAAACUCAAUGCAUACCAUCGGACUUGUUUUGAUAGCUAAACUAUGACGAACUCUGGAGAGAACUUAGAGGCAUGAUGGAACAAAUUUUAUGCCAUGGCCCAAAUGUUGUUUCUGCUUAACAUGUUGCCUCCUGGGAUCCAAUCAAUAUAUCCAGUUAUCUACUGCAUUCACAAAUCUUCUUUGGGUCAACAUGAUCUAGGUCACUGCUAGUUUUAUAUCCAUGGCAUUGUUGAUAUAUUGGGGAUUUUUUUUCUUUUCAUUUUCUUACGAUCGGACCCUGUUGGCAUGUGUGUUCUGUGGACAAACCCCUUUUGCAUAUAAACAAUGUUGAGAUCAUUACAGUAUUAUCUGUAUUCAUAAUUAGCAUGUUUUUGUGGGAACAAAAUUUGGUUGUGUAGGAGAUGGUGGAAGGAACAGCAAGGAGAAUUCUUCUCAGGGGCUCCAAGCAGCAUUGCCAAAGAUGGUAGAUUCUACUGAGUUGCUACACUUUUUGACAAGGAUGGUAGUUUAUAGUUGUGGGAUCGUUUCUUUGUUUUGUUGGGACAUUUGUUUGGGAUCGUUUCUUUGUUUUGUUGGACAUUUAUUUUGUGGCACUUCUGACUGAAUCGUGGAAUGUUUUGAGGGAUGAUUGCAUUUCCUUAGUGAAAGCCCUAGCUAUGAAAGCUGAAACUGAGAGGACAUUUGUUCGGGAUUGUUUCUUUGUUUUGUUGGACAUUUGUCGUGGCACUUCUAACUGGAUCGUGGAAUGUUUUGAGGGAUGAUUGUAUUUCUUUAGUGAAAGACCUAGCUGUGAAAGCUGAAAUUGAGAGGAUAUUUGUUCGGGAUCGUUUCUUUGUUUUGUUGGACAUUUGUUGUGGCACUUCUGACUGAAUCGUGGAAUGUGUUGAGGGAUGAUUGUAUUUCCUUAGUGAAAGCUCUAGCUAUGAAAGCUAAAAUUGAGAGAACAUUUGUUCGGGAUCAUUUCUUUGUUUUGUUAGACAUUUGUUUGGCACUUCUGACUGAAUCGUGGAAUGUUUUGAGGGAUGAUUGCAUUUCCUUAGUGAAAUCCCUAGCUAUGAAAGCUGAAACUGAGAGAACAUUUGUUCGGGAUCGUUUCUUUGUUUUGUUGGACAUUUGUUUUGUGGCACUUCUGACUGAAUCAUGGAAUGUUUUGAAGGAUGAUUGUAUUUCCUUAGUGAAAGCCCUAGCCAUGAAAGCUGAAACUGAGAGGACAUUUGUUCGGGAUCGUUUCUUUGUUUUGUGGCACUUCUGACUGAAUUGUGGAAUGUUUUUUGAGGGAUGAUUGUAUUUCCUCAGUGAAAGCCCUAGCUAUAAAAGCUGAAACUGAGAAUUAGGCUGUCCUCAUUUGUGGGUUGUGGAGCUUAUUUGAAGUCUCUUGUAAAUUUCUUAAAAUUGUUGAUAUCAUAUCUCAUCAUUUUGAUCUCUUAUCUUUUUAUUUUGGUAGGAUUUUGAUCUCUUAUCACGGCACCAAUAUGCUAGGGGGCAUCUUUUAUAAUAUUUUUGGAUCACUGGCAUCUUUAUCAUAUUUUUGCGAACACACUUCUGCAGCAUUGAUGGAACCUGUCAAUUUGUUCUCUGUAUUGGCAAAUUUGAUCUGAACCAAUGUGACUUGCGUCCAUUUUGUUCUUUGUACUCUUUGGCCUUGGCUAUUAUUGGGCACAACUUCUACUCCUUUUAUUAUUAUUAUUAUUAUUAUUGUUUUAUUUCAUUUUUUCUGAUAUAGGCAGCUUCUACUCAUUUUACAGCUUAGCUGGAUUCAGCUGUGAUGUGCCAUGCAAUCCUCAACGCAUGGUGGUUCGUACUUUAGUUGCUUUUAUUAGAGUCAAUUUCAUAUUUUAGUCUUCUGCAUAUGGACAGUUUAAAGUUUAAACGAGAGUUUAGGCAAAUCGACUUAGUGCUGACCCAUUAAAAGAAAUAUUUGAAAUGGUAAAUGUGUAUUUGAUUCUUGUAAGCAGUUGAACCCACCGUUCUUACAUGUAUGCAAUGCAGUUAAUUACUUCAAGGUCUUAAAAUUUGGGAAAGAAGAAGAGGGUUAGUUCUUAGAUUAUUAGAGAUGGUUUUUGGUACUUACAACACUGAUCUUGCCGAUAGAUCAAGCAAACAAGAACAAUGGCAAAGCUACUCAUAUCCAUUACUUAAUGACAGUGCUUUCCCUCAUUCUCUACUCUCAUUACAUCUUGCAGGCUCUGCUUCCUCUUUUGAUCUUCUCAACUUCGUGCUUUCUUUGGUGGAGCCAUAAGUUACAUGGCGGGCUACGGAAGCAACUAUCCACAACAGGUUCACCAUAGGGGAUCCUCUAUCGUCUCAUUAAGGUUAAUCCCAGCUUCGUUAGCUGCCUUGAAAGAUAUAGUGUUGGAUUUAUGGGCUUAAAUUAAUUAUUAGACAAAUAGUUGGUGCCAGUGAUCCAAAUCUCUUAGUUGGUGCCAUCGUCAGCCUCCCUGAUGCCUAUGAUGACUUCGUCGAUUCACAGAGACAACCAUGAGCAAAUAUAGCCCACUACCUACAACAAUGCUCCCCUCCUUGGUGUCAAGAACAAUACAAAGCCAGGGGUUUGAACGGAUCAAAUGUUACAGGUGAGCCUAGAAAAUACGGAUUCCAAGUCAAGAAAGUAGAGGAACGAGUCAGAUGUAGGGUUCUCUUUGGGAUUCUGGAGAUGUUUGGGUUGAAGAUGAACAAGAGGAUAAAAUGUGGUCUUUAGAUUUACUUCUUUUGGUUAAGGGUGAAAUGGUCUUCUGGGAUUCCCAACAACAUACUAACAUAACACCAUUAAACGUAAGGGGCGUAAUUGCUAAAAAUACUGGUGUCCAGAUGCAAUAAGGCCAUAAUACAGGGGAGGGGGGCGACAUUUUCCCUAAAUAUAAAUAUUUUAUCAAAUUUAUUCGUUUAA